rnacentral:misc_RNA from 1 species
AACCAGUCGCGUCGACAGCGG